UCUGCUAUCCACGUCAAAGGCUGUGUGGUGUGGAGGGUAACCCUCUGGGCUAAGAGUCACAAGACCAUGGCCGCA
rnacentral:miRNA from 1 species